GGAGUCUAUGUACGGUUUCUUUAAUUUAAAUUUGUGUAAGCACAAUAGAAAUGAUGAUGAUGAUGAUGAUGAGUUUAGUAGAAAAAAUACUUCAAGUGUUGUACUGGGAAAUGUGAAGUUUUGUUGGAUAUAAUA